rnacentral:tRNA from 1 species
GCCGGGAUAGCUCGGUAGGUAGAGCAG